AACUUCAUGGAGUGACAGUAUCGUAGCCAAUGAGGUUUAUCCAAGGAGCGAUUAUUGCUAAUUGAAAACUUUUCCCAAUACCUGGCCGUGGCAACUUGCAAUAUAGUUGACAUUGGCAAUUUUUGACAGUCUCUAUGGAGA